rnacentral:lncRNA from 1 species
GGCCUCUGUGCCCGUCCCUGUCUUAGCUCAUUGCCUUCUCCUGGGCCUUGUCCCUUCUCACGCCAACCACAGUGGGUUGAGGGGCAUCCCCCAGAACAUAUGUUGAAGUCCUCGUCCCUCGGGUCUCCAAAUGUGACCUUCAUUGGAGAUAGGGAUUUUGCAGGUGUGAUGAAAUGAGGACGCAGUCAUCCUGGAUAAGGUUGGGCCUGAAGUCCAGUGGCGGACAUCAGGGGAAAGGAAGGUGGAGAGGACACUCAGGGGAGGAGGCCACGAGAAGGGGGAGGUGGAAAUGAGUCUACAAACCAGGGGCCACCGGCGGUCGCCAGGAGCUCCCAGAAGCCAAGAUGAGGCUGGGCAGUCUUCCCUGGAGCCUCAGAGGGAGCCUGGCCCUGAUGGCACUUGGAUUUUAAACUUCUCGCCUCCAGAACUGUGGGGAAAGAGCCACCUGGCUUGGGACCAUUGGUCACAGUGGCCCUGGGACACCACAGCACCCACCGACCUCCACAGGACACCACAGCACCCACCAACCUCCUUUACGGAUGGACAAACAGGGUCUAGGGGAGGAUCUCCAGGCCGCAUCCUGCAGAGGGGUCUGCAGCAGGGUCUCCGUC